rnacentral:rRNA from 1 species
GACGAACGCUGGCGGCGUGCCUAAUACAUGCAAGUAGAACGCUGAAGGAGGAGCUUGCUUCUCUGGAUGAGUUGCGAACGGGUGAGUAACGCGUAGGUAACCUGCCUGGUAGCGGGGGAUAACUAUUGGAAACGAUAGCUAAUACCGCAUAAGAGUAGAUGUUGCAUGACAUUUGCUUAAAAGGUGCAAUUGCAUCACUUCCAGAUGGACCUGCGUUGUAUUAGCUAGUUGGUGGGGUAACGGCUUACCAAGGCGACGAUACAUAGCCGACCUGAGAGGGUGAUCGGCCACACUGGGACUGAGACACGGCCCAGACUCCUACGGGAGGCAGCAGUAGGGAAUCUUCGGCAAUGGACGGAAGUCUGACCGAGCAACGCCGCGUGAGUGAAGAAGGUUUUCGGAUCGUAAAGCUCUGUUGUAAGAGAAGAACGAGUGUGAGAGUGGAAAGUUCACACUGUGACGGUAUCUUACCAGAAAGGGACGGCUAACUACGUG